rnacentral:lncRNA from 1 species
UUUUUUUUUGAUGGGCCAUGAUUGUUGAAAAUGGUUAAGUCCAUUCAUCUUUUUUUUGUUUUAUAAAAAUCCAUUUUUUGUUAGGCCCAAUAGUAAGCCCAUAAUCCACCUUGGUUAUCCAAUAAUUAUCCACUGUUUGGCCCAUAAGCCAUAUCCAAAACCAUUUGUAUUAUCCAUCUAUUCUCCAGUUUUCAUAUCCAGUCCAUGUCCGCUAAGAAAAUUUAAAUUCAUUUCUAACAAUUGUCCAUUUAACAUAUAAAGCCAAAGCAAUUGGAAUUGAAAGCUACGAGCAAACCAGUUCACAUCAGCUGCAACGUACAAAAACGCAUGUGCUCAAAAGCUACCAAAUGUUACGCACAAAACGACGAUCCAAGCACAGGGUAAAAAAGGUGAAACGCAAACGACAUGUUGUGGCAAGUUCGCACGCUGCGAAUGGCAACUAGCUGCGAAGCAUCUCAAAGCAAAUGACGCGCAAACGCAACGGCUGCUAAACGACAACAACACCAGCUGCAUUAGAAAUCGACAACUUGAUACACCAAACCGUACAAGCUACAUAGAACCGCCGGCAAAACUCAAUCCCGCAACAACUACAACAGCAACGACUACACAAGAUAAAAACCAUAAGCUGAUGUACAAGCAACAACAACGGCCUUCCACAUCCAACAGCAACACCGGCAAUGCGAAACCUGCAGAAAACCAGAUCCAACAGUUAACUAACCAACUGAAUUUUGCAGCUUCAUAACUAUAACCAACUCAAACCUGCAAUAGAACUUCAACAAAAGUCAGAACCAUAACUGAUGGAACUCAAUAUAUCUUUUCUUCCUCCAAGUAUCAGAGACAAAACCUGCAAAACGCAUUACGAUGGUUUCACUGCAUAUAGUCAUAACAGUUGCCAUUUUAACAAAGACUUGCUAACUGUCAUGAGAACAUCACCAAAAUCAAUCCUAAACUUUCCUAACAAAUUAAUUCAUCAACCACACGUGCACAUAACAUUAACAUGAGAAAUAAGCAUGGAGCUAACAGCAUGACUAACAAGUUCUACCUAGUUCAGUAAGGUUUUUCGCAUAGCAGUAUCGAAUACUUCGUAAUUGCUUCCACCAUUAAUUGUCAGCUUGUUAUAACCUAUACAACUGACCUCAAUCCAUUGUGUAAUUAACCAAAACGCAAUAUGACUAACAUUGGAGAUAGUUUCUAGCGGACUCUAACAACUUAACUAACCUAAUCCAUUCUAACCAACUCAACAAAUAUCCUAACAGAACUCACAACUAACCUAACCAAUCCCUAACCGAAAUUCAUAACAGAAAAGAGAAGAGAAAGAAAUUCAGAAAGCUAUAAAAGCAUACCUCAAUCUCUCUCAAAUGGUUGGAUCCUCUCACCACAUUCACGCUUCUUCAACCUUUUUCUUUUUUUCUUCACUUCCUUCUCCUCCACCUUCAACCUCAUUUCCAUCUUCUCUCCGCCCUCAACCUUCAAACUCAUACACAGCAAUCAAUUCCUUCCAUUCCUAAGCCUGGACAAGAAUUCACAUCCACAAUGAUUCAACCUUCGAAGACAAAACGGAAAUAGUAGAAGCGAGGACAAACUCUCAGAAUCGCACGCCAUAACAAAGGGAAUAGAAGAAGGAGAUAGGUGACAAGAAGUUGAGAGAAGAGACUUACGGUUCAAGAAGCGUUGUCGUCUCAAUUGGCCAAGCACGAACUCGAGUCUUCAUUCCUCAUCCCUCACCGUCAUCGAGCACCAACAACGGCGGAAAGCGGAUUCAUCCUCUUCACGCUCACAAUUCGCGACGGCUCGGCAACCCUUGGAGCAACCUUCAACUCUCAUUCUCGCACAACAACUCGCUUCAACAACGCGUUCCGUUCAAAAGCUUCACGCAAUCAAGAACAAGCAGUAAGCAUAAAUCACGAUCAAUCGAAGAAGAAGAUCGAGCAGAAGAGGAAGGGAAGAAAUUCAAUCUAACCUGCCGACCAAGUGAUCACUUGCACGCGUCGCUCUUCAUUUCCAAGACCGAAUUAACACCUUCACUUCUUAAUAGUAUAAUUAGAAUUUAACUAGGUUAAGGUUUUGAUUUAGUUAAAAUAGAAUUUUUAUGAAUGUUAUGAUAACUAAUUGUCAUUAGUUCUUAAUUAGGUUUUCUGGCGUUAGAA